rnacentral:lncRNA from 1 species
UUACUUUCUUCAGUGACACUCUCCCUGACUGACCGUGCCGGCUCUGCCAAGUCACAGUGUUCUGUGGCCUUGCUCAUCAUAGCACAGCGCCUUCAUCUGAGCACUUCUUGCUUUGUUCCUAAGGGGAAGUCCCAAGAAGUUGGGGUCAGGGUCAGGAGAGAAAAAGGGAAUGGCUCACAGUCAUUAUAGAUUCCCGGUGGUGAAUGAUGACCACAGCCCUGGGACAGACGAAGCUCCCAUCCUAAAUACAGGCGUUAAUAGGGCUGAAAUGCACUGACACCCCGAAUCUUAGAUAUUGCCCAUCCUGAGCUCAGAGGACAUUUCCAGUCAGGAGAUAUUUAAUUAUACAUGCAGUUUGCAGGUUCAAAGGGGGCUGAAACCCCAGGCUGUCCAAACUGUGAAGAGGCCUAAAGAUCGAUUAGUCCAAUCUUCUCAUUUGUACUGGAGGGAACCGAGUCUCAGGGAGGUGGAAUGACUUGCGCAACCCUGCACAGAGGUAAAACAGAACAAAGACCAGAACAAGGCUCUGGGACCAGUGCUCCUUCCUCCAGACCAGGCUCCCCAGACCAGGCUAACCUCCUUGGCCAAAGCAAGGAAAACAAGCCCUGGCCCUUAGGCUUGUGAGAUUGGAGAGAAGACCUGAAGAAAAGCAAGACUAAAGGAGAAUCUUACACAGAGCUUCCAUGUGUCUACACCUUCAGGAAAAAGAACCUUCUAGAAUUAUUUUUAUUCCAGAAAGUAAAACAUCAACGUCAAUUUUGGAAUCUGUUUAGAAGCCCUAAAUUUUUCAAUGACUGUCCUCAAACUAGUCACCAGGUAAAAGAAUUUCACAAAGGCAACUGCUCAGAAAGGGUCUCAGAAACAUGACCCCUGCUCACCACAUACACACCCCACAGAGAGGGCCCUUGCUCUUCAGCCUUUACUUCAGUGAGAUGAGGUCUCUUUUUGAGCCCCUAAACUUCUACUUAGUGUUUUCUGCAUUGUUUCUUUUUGUUUUGUUUUGUUUUGUUUCGUUUGAGACAGAGUCUUGCUCUAUCUCCUAGGCUGGAGUGCAGUGGCACAAUCUUGGUUCACUGCAACCUCUGCCUCCCAGGUUCAAGAGAUUCUCCUGCCUCAGCCUCCUGAGUAGCUGAGAUUACAGGUGUGCACUGCCAUGCCUGGCUAAUUUUUUGUGUUUUUAGCUAAUUUUUUGUUUUUUGUGUUUUAGAGACGGGGUUUCAACAUAUUUCCCAGGCUGAUCUCAAACUCCUGACCUCAGGCAAUCCGCCUGCCUUGGCGUCCCCAAAGUGCUGGGAUUACAGGCAUGAGCCACUGUGCCCAGCUGGCAUUGUUUCUUGAAUGUUCAUGGAGGAUACUAAAUUUAUGUUAAAAAUGAAUAAGUUCAGAAAGUCCAUGGAAAGAAAUGUGUUUCUUUUGCUUUUUUUUUUUAAAUUUACCAUCUACAAAGUAGGUGAUGGGUGUUCAGUCUCUUCUAAAGAGUUGGCAAGUUUACCCCUUAAAAACUACAGACCACAGUGAGGAAUCCCCACUUUAACCCUAUAGUGGACCUCACACUGCAGUAUUAAGUAAAAUACUUCUUAAUGACUAUUCCAAUAAAUAUGCCAAUGUUUUCAGAUGGUCUUUAAAGAAACCCCUGGCCACUCCCAGUGUCUGUUCUGCACUCCCCAUCAGCACCAUGCACAGCAGUCCCUUGUUCUUCUGUCAGAGGGAAACUAGUACGAUAAGAGCCUUGUUUCUGAUAAGAAUAUCUGUCACUGACAAAAAAAAGGCAAUGUGUUUUUUAUUGAGCUGACCCCCCCACACACAAAAAGCAAUACACAAAAUUCAUUAAUUAUAAGCCAUCCUCUGUCUCAAGCGCACACACACAUUUGCAUUUUCAAAAGCUCCAUUCUGCCUAUUUGAAAAAGCUACAUUCUGGUUUUUCUGAGCUAGUGAGGAAAUAACUGCACCUAAAGGUACCGCCA